AAGAACAAAAAAGAAAAAAAAAGAAAAACAACAGAAAAAAAUUGAAAUGCCCCAUAAAAAAAAACAACAAAAAUCUUUAAUAAAACAUGUUAAAAAAUUACAAUAUGAUUACAGAUUAUGGUUUCAUUUAUUUGAUUCAUUUGUUGUCACUCUUUCUCUCUUUUUUUGUCUUUCAUCUAUUCACAUUGUAUCUUAUUACGGAUAUCAUUAUAUCAGUCUUGAUUUCAAUAUUCAUAACACUCCCGCGGAGGAGGAAGCGUAUAAUUCCGUGGCCGACUCGUCGUUUGUUCAAAGCUCAUGCAACAGCCAUAGCAUACAUAACGUAAGUGACUUACAUUAUGUGUAUACGGUACACGACGCUUAAACUUGACCGUGUUUAUUGGUAUAAUUGAGAGAAUAAUAAAAUUCCAAGAGAAAAGGAGACGAACGUGUGUGUGUAUAAAAUGGAAGAGAAUUUUAAAACGCGAUUCGGAGUUAAUGUCAUUUUGUUGACCAAGACCCAGUUCAAUACUUCAGCAACCUUUAACUAUCGUGCUGUAAUGGAUCGAAAAUGGCAAAUGAGUCAAUAAUGAAAGUAAUAAAUAAAUAAAUGUUACGAACGGACGUUUCGAUCAACUUCUGCCACUUUUCAUUCUACUCUCUGACCCGAUUUCAUCAUUACUCCACAUAUUUUUAUAAAAAUUGCAAAUGCCAGAAAAAUAAAAAAUCUGGGUGUGAGGUAAUCAAGGUCGUGUCUUGGGUUGGGAAAUGCGAUUGAACACGAGGGUAACGAUGAGAACUGAGACAAACAGAUGAAAGAAUUCAUUUUCUUUCUUGUUAAAAAAAUAUAUUCUUGCAUUUCGCGAUGGCGGAUAUAAAUUCAGGACUUCGUUCGUAAUCGAGGAGAGUGAAAAUUCUGGCCUCAUGCUCCGGCUUCACAGUUGCAAGCCUAAGGCGUCGCCCACGUAAUUCCGCAAAGAUAUCUUGCCUUCAAUGGAUCGAUACAUGCGCAUUGUAAUAUGUAUAUCAUACCUGCACACACUCUGCACUUCCAGAUGGUGGUUGACAUUUAAUAUCGUUGCGGGUAUAAUAUUUACGUACUUCAACUACAGGUGCGAAAAAAUAAAUUAAAAGAAAAUGACAAAACAACGUUUCGGUUAUGUAAACUCGAUUCAAAAUGUACACCGCGUUUAUUAUCCUCACAGUGUCCACAGGCUGGUCACUUUACAAAUAGAAAAUAAAAUUGGAUAGAAUUGGCUGGAAGGCAUGAGGAUCGUUGAGAAUAAUCUCUUGUCGAUGAUUUUACACGCGUGCAAUUCAGGAGGAAGUGAUGGAAUGUUUUUUUUUCCAAUCGGUAAUCUCGCUUGUUUCGUUAUAAUUCCUUUACCGUCUUAGUCUCGAGAACUAAAGGCCAAUAUACAGUGAAGAGACACCGUAUCGCGAAGAGAGUGUAUGCGACGGCGAAGUGUCAUCGUAGUGAAGCAGUGCCACUUACUUAAAGCCGACUGGAAUGCACUUCUAAACAGAACUCGUUGACAUUUGCAUGGCAGCGAGCAGAAGUAGCUGAACAUAAGGGCCAAACGUGCCCGGUUUCCUUUCCACUCCAACCUAACAGCUGGUGCAAAGAUGGCUAGAGAGUUUGGAACGCUCAUCUUCCCUUGAGAAGAUAAAUGCACCAAUUGGUUCCAGGUAACAACUGAUCAGUGCCGGGUACCCAAGCCAUACGCUAAGAUCUCACGUAAGCGAAAGUAGAGAAAGCUGAGAUAGCUCGGUGUUGCCGCCGAUUCGACGAGUGCUACUGCUGCAAGGACGUCAGCCUCGAGCUACUAACCGUUGGAAAACACAUCAAUACUCUAUGUCAUGUCAAGUUUUAAGCCGCACGAUUCGCUACGCGAGAUCUUCGGGGAAAUUUAUUUCAGGGAUACCGAUAUGGAUCCGAUGGAGGCCGUGUUUCAACGUAACGAAAAAUCGGGUAGAGACAUUAUUCGAAGUAAUUUUUCGUACAAGAGAAAUAUUCGCCCUUUAUAUCGUUGACCAUUGUUUUGAAACGAUCUCAAAAAAUCGGUAACGAGAUAUUAGAUUCGGUAUUGGCUGUCUCUUCAUUUCCCAUUUCUCAGCGUUCAAAAUUUACCGCUAGUGAUUUUAAUGACGUACGAAUCAAAUUACCUGACUAUAUUGACGCUGAGAUACCUACCGGAAUUUGGGAAAUACUUGAAAAAUCGACAGAUAUUAGAUAAACAUCAUGAAAUUAGAAACUUGCUGUAGGGUAAUUACCAUUUGGAUCAUAUAAGUUGCAUAUAAUUUAAUAUCGAUAUCUAUCAUAUUUAAAUACUUCAAACUAUCCGAACGUUCCUUCUACUGCAGACAAAUAUUCUACUGUAUUCAUAAAAUGUAUUUUAUUCCUUGUUAUAAUUCCAAUGGAAAGUUCUUGUUUGAAGAACACGACGCGAUAAUACCGAUCUUUGAAAAAUACUCAAUAAAUUGGUAUAAGAAUUUUUUCGAUUGA